rnacentral:piRNA from 1 species
UGGAGGUAACAUAGCCUGAUUGGUGU